rnacentral:rRNA from 1 species
UACGUAGGGUGCGAGCGUUGUCCGGAAUUAUUGGGCGUAAAGAGCUCGUAGGCGGUUUGUCGCGUCUGCUGUGAAAACCCGAGGCUCAACCUCGGGCCUGCAGUGGGUACGGGCAGACUAGAGUGCGGUAGGGGAGAUUGGAAUUCCUGGUGUAGCGGUGGAAUGCGCAGAUAUCGGGAAGAACACCCGUGGCGAAGGCGGCUCUCUGGGACGGUACUGACGCUGAGACGCGAAAGCGUGGGGAGCGAACAGG